GUGAGGCGCCCUGGACAUUCUCCUUAAGAUUAAAUGACACUGACUAAUAUCUUGGAGAUGCCAGCCAAGAAAAGUCUUGGCUUUCGAUGGAAUCUGGGAGGAGAGGUGGAGGAGGCAAGUUGAUUCUUUAGCCGGGUGAGUUGAGGUAAGUCUUCUGGGCAUUUCUCCAGCAUCGUGGUUGGGGCAAUCCCUGCGACUUCUAGUGAUUGCUUAGAAUGAUUCACCUUGGCACUGUCUUCCGGACACAGGUGCAGAUUGGGAGAGUUAGCAACUCUUGUCUCAGAAGCAAUCACACAGAGCCAGCAGGAGCCUGCAGGAAUGGGAGAAAACCUAAGCAGACAAUGGAAACUCGGGAGGAGCAGAACUCACAGAGGCCAAGGACAGAGCGAAAUAAAUCAGUGGCAGAAGAAAUAGGGCAAAGUUGAUUUUCUACCCUCUUAAUCCCUUCUUACAUAGCCCAAAUAUCCUAUUCAGUACUUCAUUCAUUCAUUCAUGCCACCCCCAUCCUAUUAUCAGGAGAGAUUUAGAGACAAUGGAACCUCAAAAACAAAAGCAACAGCGUGAAUGAAAUGAACGUGGGGAACACGCAGAAUGCAACCGAAGGCACGAAGCCAAUAGGAAGUUGGACGGUGGGAUGUUGGUGGAGGGGUUUUUUUCAGUUUGACACAAUCAAAUUUCCUAUUUCGUGAACUUUGGUUCUUGUUGGCCUAAAUGCAUUUUUGAUGCUUGCUAAAAAAAAGUAGGAUAAAUCCAACCACUUUGUUUAUUUUCGUAUUCAUUUCAACGGAAAUAAUGGUGGGAUUAGGGAAUGCAAAGAGAGGGAGCUCUGUAGGUGUGACGAUGAAGAGAGUUAACAGAGAAUGGAAAUCCGAUGGGAAAUGCAACAGAAGAUGGAUCCAGGGAAGCGGAAAAGGAGAAGAGGAAGCACCAGAGACAGCCAUGGGGUGCCAUGUCGGGGAGGACCCCUGGCCUGGGCUUCCCCAGCAGCCCAGGUGAUGGGCAGCAGAAGGUUCCAGACUCCACUAGAGGCUCUGUUUAGCUUCUGUCACCUCAAGAGUCUUAUCAGUUUCUACCUAGGUUUCCAACACAGUAGAUGUUCCAUAAAUGCUUGUUACACUCAACCAAACUAAACCACUCAGGUCUAAAAGCAGUGAGUAGAAGAACUGCAAGGAAAAAAACCAUACAUUGUGUGAAAUAGAUAAUAAAAAAUAAUAGUAAGAGACAAAUCAUAAAGGACAAAAAGAAGGGCGCCUUUCAGAUGGUGUAUGGGUCUUUCCUUCUAGAGUGGAGAAACUGCCUCCAUCGCGGGCUUCCAUGGCACCGUGCCCUAUCUUCUCCACAGUUCAUAGAAACCUGGAUUGUAAGUAACCACUGGGUCAUCUUCUUUCCGACUGGACUUGAAACUUUGAGCAGAUGGCGAGCGUGUCUGUUUUGUUCACUGUUGCACAGUGAGUCUAGCACGAUGCCUGGCUGAAAAUAGUUGCUCCAUAUAUGUUAUGUUGAAUGAAUGAGAAAACGAGGCAAACUUAGAAGGGGCUCAUGAAGAAAUAGGGGCAAUUUAAAAAAAUUACUAAGGGCAAAAAAAGAUGUUGAGACAUUUUGAAUGAAGGAAUUUAACUUGAAAUUUUUUUUUAAAAGCUCUGCAGUGAAAAAAGGAAAGAAUGUUAUCAAUAAUAACAAAAAAUAAUAAAGAUGUGUGUAUAAUCUCCUGGCAUUUU
rnacentral:lncRNA from 10 species